UACGGAGGGGCUAGCGUUGUUCGGAAUUACUGGGCGUAAAGCGCGCGUAGGCGGACCUGCAAGUCGGGGGUGAAAGCCCGAGGCUCAACCUCGGAACUGCCUUCGAUACUGCGGGUCUCGAGUCCGGGAGAGGUGAGUGGAAUUCCCAGUGUAGCGGUGAAAUGCGUAGAUAUUGGGAGGAACACCAGUGGCGAAGGCGGCUCUCUGGGACGGUACUGGACGCUGAGACGCGAAAGCGUGGGGAGCGAACAGG
rnacentral:rRNA from 1 species